GACGAACGCUGGCGGCGUGCUUAACACAUGCAAGUCGAACGGAAAGGCCCUGCUUUUGUGGGGUGCUCGAGUGGCGAACGGGUGAGUAACACGUGAGUAACCUGCCCUUGACUUUGGGAUAACUUCAGGGAACUGGGGCUAAUACCGGAUAGGAGCUCCUGUUGCAUGGUGGGGGUUGGAAAGUUUCGGCGGUUGGGGAUGGACUCGCGGCUUAUCAGCUUGUUGGUGGGGUAGUGGCUUACCAAGGCUUUGACGGGUAGCCGGCCUGAGGGGGUGACCGGCCACAUUGGGACUGAGAUACGGCCCAGACUCCUACGGGAGGCAGCAGUGGGGAAUAUUGCACAAUGGGCGGAAGCCUGAUGCAGCAACGCCGCGUGCGGGAUGACGGCCUUCGGGUUGUAAACCGCUUUCGCCUGUGACGAAGCGUGAGUGACGGUAAUGGGUAAAGAAGCACCGGCUAACUACGUG
rnacentral:rRNA from 1 species